rnacentral:lncRNA from 1 species
AGGGCCACACUGUGCAUCGUGGGGACUCAGCAAGACCUCUGGCUUCCACCUAACACAUGCCUUCUCCCAACCUGAGAGUCCUCUGCUGUGGAGGGGAUUCGAGGACCAGCGGACAUCGUAAAAGGUCUUGCUGCCUUCCCGACAGCGUUCUGUGGCUUUUCAGCACUCUGUACCCAAAAUGCAGGAGUUCUAAGACGACACCACAUCCUCAGAUGCUCCAGGUCCAAAUGAAGAUAAGUGAGGCAGGAGCCCAAGCCUA